UACGGAGGGUGCAAGCGUUACUCGGACUCACUGGGCGUAAAGGGCGCGUCGGCGGCCUAGCAAGUCUGGUGUGAAAGCCCAGGGCUCAACCCUGGAAGGGCACUGGAAACUGUUAGGCUUGAGUUCCGGAGAGGAGGGGGGAAUUCCCGGUGUAGCGGUGAAAUGCGUAGAUAUCGGGAGGAAUACCGGUGGCGAAGGCGGCCCUCUGGACGGAAACUGACGCUGAGGCGCGAAAGCGUGGGGAGCAAACAGG
rnacentral:rRNA from 1 species